UACGUAGGGUGCGAGCGUUAAUCGGAAUUACUGGGCGUAAAGGGUGCGCAGGCGGUUUGGAAAGCAAGAUGUGAAAUCCCCGGGCUUAACCUUGGAACUGCAUUUUGAACUACUGAACUAGAGUGUGUCAGAGGGGGGUGGAAUUCCACGUGUAGCAGUGAAAUGCGUAGAGAUGUGGAGGAACACCGAUGGCGAAGGCAGCCCCCUGGGUCAACACUGACGCUCAUGCACGAAAGCGUGGGGAGCAAACAGG
rnacentral:rRNA from 1 species